GGAAUCUUCGGCAAUGGGGGCAAACCCUGACCGAGCAACGCCGCGUGAGUGAAGAAGGUUUUCGGAUCGUAAAGCUCUGUUGUAAGAGAAGAACGUGUGUGAGAGUGGAAAGUUCACACAGUGACGGUAACUUACCAGAAAGGGACGGCUAACUACGUGCCAG
rnacentral:rRNA from 1 species